UUCGAGCCGCCCUGCAGCGGUGUGGAGACUCCGACCAGUUGGGGCAGGCGGCUCAGGUCGCGGCCAGCCAGGUUGAUUUGCAAGUAAGGGCUGAAGGCUGUGUGGGUGAGAGACUUAGGCACUGAAGCCACUUGACCUCGAUUUGACCCAGAGGCCUCAGGCCCUGAGUGAGCAGAGACACCUCACCCCAGAGAAAGACUCAUGGAGGUGCUGUCAGUAAUGUGGUUGGGAAACUAGUUUCCAUGGCCAAACCUAGCCCACCGUCUGUUUUGGUGUCCAUGGAUUGGCGGGGACAGCUCUGCUUAAGGAUGUAGUAGCUCUGCAGGUUGGCUAGGUUCCUGUUCUUCCCAACCUGCGCUAUGGACUUCAUCAGAUUUCAGCAUCAGAGAGAAUAUGGAAGGACAUCGACCCUAACUUCAUCCAGUGAGGAUUUCCACACACCAUACACUCUCUGAGAGUUCUCUUGGCUUUGUGUGCACACCUCCAGUGACAGGGAGCUCGCUAUGUCAUGAGGCAGCCUGCUCCCUUGUGGCUAUCACUGAACCAACUAUUAAGCCUUCUUAUACAAACAGUCCCUGACUUACUGUUAGACUUACAACUUUUUGAUUUUACAGUGGUGCAAAAGCAAUAUGCAUUCCAUAGAAACUGUAUUUCAAAUUUUGAAUUUUGAUCUUUUCCAGGCUAGCAACAUAUGAAGACCAACCUUCUAUUUUUAAAAUAGGCUUUGUGUUAGAUGCUUUUGCCCAACUAUAGGUUAAUGUAAAUGUUCUGAGAAUAUUUGAGGAAGGCUAGGCUAAACUGUGAUCUUUGGGAGCUUAGAUAUGUUAAGUGCAUUUUCAACUUACAAUAUUUUCAACUUACGAUGAGUUUAUUGGGAUGAAGCCCGUUGUAAGUAAAGGAGCAUCUGCAUUAAGCUAAAAUCCAUGUCUAUAACUUCCUCAGUAAUAUCAAGUUUGUUCCUUGGAGCCAGAGAAUAAACUGAAUCCUUUUCCAC
rnacentral:lncRNA from 1 species